rfam:Bordetella bronchialis strain AT17976, complete genome.
UGUCUCCUCCACCCUCCUCCUUUGGUGGAUUUAGCCCGAGAUCGUCAGAUCUCGGGCUUUUUUUU